GGAUGAUGAGUCUCUCCAUUGCCUCACCUUCAGGUGUUACCUUCACUUCCAAGAUGAACCUCUCUAAAUCCUCCUUCCAUGGCAUUCAGAUUCCUAAAAUCAUGCAGGCGCGUGCAGUAAACGCGCCGCGUCACUCUUGUUCGUCUUUGGUGGUGAAAAUGGCGAAGAGGGAAGAGGAAUUGAAGGAAAUCAGAACUAAGACUACUGAAGAGCUUCAGGAAGAGAUUGUGGACCUUAAAGGUGAGCUAUUUAUGCUUCGUCUUCAAAGGUCAGCUCGAAAUGAGUUCAAGUCCAGCGAGUUUCUGCGAAUGCGCAAAAGGAUUGCAAGGAUGCUUACAGUUAAACGGGAGAGAGAGGUUGAAGAAGGGAUUAACAAGAGGAUAUCCAGGAAGCUCGACCGGAAAUGGAAGAAAAGCAUUGUCCCUAGACCACCACCCUCUUUGAAGAAGCUACGAGAGGAGGAGGCAGCAGAAGAAGCUAAGGAAUCUGCCUCCUGAUUACAGACAAUUAAACUAGCAGGCAAAUGUUGUAUUUCUUUUCUGGCCUCUCCUCUCAUUUGUUUCUUCCUCAUACGUAUAGUUUAUAACUGCUCCUGAAUUUUUGUAUUGAAUCAACUUAAUUUGCAA
rnacentral:misc_RNA from 1 species